GCAUGAAUAAAAUUCACGCAAGAACCAAUUUCGUGCAUGAGAAGAGUGGUCGGUGUUUAGGGAAGAGUCCAACUUGAUUUGGACUCCAAGUUCAAAUCCAAAUUUAAACUAUUUGAACUUAGAUUUUAAACCAACCAAAUCCUAAUCCAAAGGAGAUUAGAAAGUGGAUGACAUUCACUUCUGGACAUGAGAAAAAAUUUACGUUAGAAUAUUUCUUGCAUGG
rnacentral:lncRNA from 1 species